AGGAUUACGCAGGGCUGCGUAUUGUCUCACUGUGUGAGCCGCACAACAGAAAACACGCAAAUUACACAAGUUUCCAAGGAGCGAAAUGCUGAAAGUUAUAUUGAUUCCAGUGGCCGUAUAUCUAUUGGCUCUGUACAACGAUAGAGUGGCGUGCAACAACGUGGAAGACUGCUCACUGAAGAUUACAGACGAUGUCCUCAGC
rnacentral:lncRNA from 1 species